AAGUGCUCCCCACCACUCCUGUCAGGCGCUGGCUAGGCGCCUAGGGAGAAGAGACGUCCCCUCCCAUUAGCCUCUCCCGAGUUUCGGUAAACUUCCCCUGCCUUCAGGCCUCGCAGACCCAGAACCCUAGAGCGCUUUGGCCUGGGCUGAAGGGAUCCAGGAAGCUGAGAAACCUCUGCUAUGUCAACUAAGUCGCCCGUGCGCGAGUGGGUGGACUGGCGGGCCUUGUGAUGGGGUGGAAGAAGGGUAUCUCCAGCACUAGCCCUGGAGCGGCAGCGCCCCCGCUAGGCUAACGUUAGGUGUGCCAGGUGGCAGAAUGAGGAACCUGGGUAACCAAAGAAGAGGGACAGCGGCGGCUGGAGCCCCCACUGCGGCCGCACCUUUGUGGCGGAUGCUGCGCUUCCAGUCCUUGGCCGUCUCGCGGCCGCUGACGAACUGGAACUCGUUGGGUGUGAGCCACUCGCCCCGGUGCCGGAUAGACGGGCCCUUGCUGCCCUGGCAGAGUUUGCGUACGUAGAGCAGUGCGCGGUUGGCGCCGCACUCCACCUCGAUACACGGCUCACCGUUGUCUAGUAGCGGUUGGAAAUCCGGUGCUGCGGCUGCAGUAGCUGAGAAGCGCUCCAAGGCCAGCGGGUCUCCAGACAAGUAGAGGCGAGGCGCGGCCUCGUGCAGGUUAAGUGUCCCAUUGUGAGAAGAUAAUCUUAGAAAUGUGCCCAUAGGGCAUGAAGACUGCUGAUGCUGGAUCUAUAUGUUUCGCCUGGAAGUGGGGUCUCUGUAGGCUACAGGGAAGCUUCUGAGACUGAACAUACAUGUGUGCUACAGAAGGGCAUACAGCUAGCUGCACAUAAGACCUGAUUGUACAGGGAAGUGACUUGUUCUGUGUGGGUACUUGAACUCUGAAUUGCCAGAAGAGAACAUGCAGAUGAUCGAUACCAUGGGUGAAAAAGAAUCAAGUCCAAACACAAACUCCAGAGAAAUGUCCCAAAGUACUCAGAGAAAGCCAGAGGCUAUGGAUUUGUUCCAGA